GACAGAGGGUGCAAACGUUGUUCGGAAUUACUGGGCGUAAAGCGCGCGUAGGCGGCUCGGUCAGUCGGGUGUGAAAUCCCUGGGCUCAACCUGGGAACUGCAUUCGAUACUGCCGAGCUAGAGUGUGGGAGAGGGUAGUGGAAUUCCCGGUGUAGCGGUGAAAUGCGUAGAUAUCGGGAGGAACAUCAGUGGCGAAGGCGACUGCCUGGCCCAACACUGACGCUGAGGUGCGAAAGCGUGGGUAGCAAACAGG
rnacentral:rRNA from 1 species